AAUGAACGCUAGCGGCAGGCCUAAUACAUGCAAGUCGAACGGUGUCUUCGGACAUAGUGGCGCACGGGUGCGUAACACGUAUGCAACCUACCUUACAUUGGGGGAUAGCCUUUCGAAAGGGAGAUUAAUACCGCAUAAGACAGUAGCUGGGCAUCCAGCAGCUGUUAAAGAUUUAUCGAUGUAAGCUGGGCAUGCGUCCAAUUAGCUAGUUGGUGAGGUAACGGCUCACCAAGGCAAUGAUUGGUAGGGGAACUGAGAGGUCAAUCCCCCACACUGGCACUGAGAUACGGGCCAGCCUCCUACGGGAGGCAGCAGUAGGGAAUAUUGGGCAAUGGACGCAAGUCUGACCCAGCCAUGCCGCGUGCAGGAUUAAGGCGUUAUGCGUUGUAAACUGCUUUUAUACAGGAAGAAACGACUCUUGCGAGAGGCAUUGACGGUACUGUAUGAAUAAGCACCGGCUAACUCCGUGCCAGCCGCCGCCGUAAUAC
rnacentral:rRNA from 1 species